AGCGAACGCUGGCGGCAGGCUUAAUACAUGCAAGUCGAGCGGGCGUAGCAAUACGUCAGCGGCAGACGGGUGAGUAACACGUGGGAACGUGCCUUUUGGUUCGGAACAACCCAGGGAAACUUGGGCUAAUACCGGAUAAGCCCUUCGGGGAAGAUUUAUCGCCAAAAGAUCGGCCCGCGUCUGAUUAGCUAGUUGGUGUGGUAACGGCGCACCAAGGCGACGAUCAGUAGCUGGUCNGAGAGGAUGAUCAGCCACAUUGGGACUGAGACACGGCCCAAACUCCUACGGGAGGCAGCAGUGGGGAAUAUUGGACAAUGGGCGCAAGCCUGAUCCAGCCAUGCCGCGUGAGUGAUGAAGCCCUAGGGUUGUAAAGCUCUUUUGUGCGGGAAGAUAAUGACGGUACCGCAAGAAUAA
rnacentral:rRNA from 1 species